CGCGUGGCGCGUGGGGGCGGGGCUGUCACUGGCCUGGUCCUGAGUAUACGGUCCAGGCGGGUGUUUCAGAUGUGGACUGUGUUUCUCGUUUAGCUGUGCUCCUUUGGCAGGCCACUUGACGUCUCUGAACCUCACUUUCUUCCUCAUCCCUUUUUUUUUCUUUCUUUUUUUUUUUUGAGAGCGCCCCUGCGAGCGUGGGGGAGGGGCAGAGGGAAAGGGAAAAUCUCAAAUAAAUUCCAGGCCCAGCACAGAGCCUGAAGCCGGGGCUGGAUUACACCAUCCUGAGAUUAUGACGCCAGCGGAAAUCAAGAGUUCCACGUUUACCCGUCAGCCUAACUGUGGGAGCCACACAGAGGACCCCCUCCUCAUCCCUCCCCAAAAUGGGGAUGCUUGGGGCAUCUGGGUGGCUCCGUCAGUCAAGACUUGAUUUCGGCUCAGUGUGAAAGGUGAUCUGCGGUGCGACACAGGACUGGACAUCUAGCACAGUGACACCAGAGCCCCAAACUCCUGCAAAUAUCUGAACAGUUGUGCAAAGACUGUUAAAACUCUUUGAAAAUGCCUACGUUUGUGAACAGUUCUUCUCAAUUAUUGAAGUCAAGGCUACCAGUCAAGGCUGAAUUCCGUGCUCGCGUGGAACUUGGUACAAGAUUUAAACAAUGAUGUGCUAAAGAAAAAGUCGCAGAUUUCUGGUUCCAAAACAAGAGUUAACAAAUUGUGAAAGAAAAUGUUAAAAGUAAAAUAUUUCUAUUUUAUGUUUUUUUUUUCCAAUUUUGAAUUUAAGUUACCAUUGUCAAUAUCAGGUGUAUGCAUUAUGUGGUAUGGUUGUAAUCCUGGUUCAGAAAAAUAAAGUUUGAUUAUGCUUCUGGCA